AAAUAUUAAUAAUAACGUAAAAAUAUAUAAAUAAUGAAAAAUGAAAACCAACAACGUAGCCCCCCCCCUAGUAAGGAAGCGCUUUGGCUUCUUGCCCUUUGGCUGCUUUUUGUUUGUUUUCUCUUGCUUUGCCUUUUGUUUC
rnacentral:ribozyme from 12 species